UCUCAGUUCGGAUUGGAGUCUGCAACCCGACUCCACGAAGCUGGAUUCGCUAGUAAUCGCGCAUCAGCCACGGCGCGGUGAAUACGUUCCCGGGCCUUGUACACACCGCCCGUCAAGCCAUGGAAGCCGGGAGUGCCUGAAGUGCGUGACCGCAAGGAGCGUCCUAAGGCAAUACCGGUGACUGGGGCUAAGUCGUAACAAGGUAAC
rnacentral:rRNA from 1 species